UACGUAGGGUGCGAGCGUUAAUCGGAAUUACUGGGCGUAAAGCGUGCGCAGGCGGUUCGUUAAGUCAGAUGUGAAAGCCCCGGGCUCAACCUGGGAACUGCAUUUGAAACUGGCGGGCUUGAGUGUGGCAGAGGGGGGUGGAAUUCCGCGUGUAGCAGUGAAAUGCGUAGAGAUGCGGAGGAACACCGAUGGCGAAGGCAGCCCCCUGGGCCAACACUGACGCUCAGGCACGAAAGCGUGGGGAGCAAGCAGG
rnacentral:rRNA from 1 species